CUGUGAUAGAAACUGUUGACAAUAAUUUCCAGGCACACAACAGUUUACAAUGAGGUCUGCACUAGGAAUUUCCCCAAGAGGCGACUGGAGUACAGGAGAGAGAGCAUAGAAUCUGUACCAAGAUUUCACGUCAAAAAUCUGCUUAGAGUGGAAAAAACAUCAUGUCAGUGUUGCUGUAGCAAGGCUUACUUUGCUUAGGGUAUUUCACCUGACCACCGAGUAGGAUAAAAUAAAUCUCAGAUGCCUGCUGAAGACAGGAAAACUAGCCCCAGCAAGCUACUGAAUGCAAGUGGCCUACCUCUGGAAGCCUCCUAAUGAGUAAAGAAAAAGUUCAGAAAAAAUCUUGAAAAACUGGGGCCAGCGCUGUGGCGCAGCAGGUUAAAGCCCUGGCCUGCAGCGCCAGCAUCCCAUAUGGGCGCUAGCUCAAAUCCUAGCUGCUCUACUUCCAAUCUAGCCCCUGCUAACUUGCCUGGGAAAGCAGCAGAAAAUGGCCCAAGUCCUUGGGCCCCUGCACCCACGUGGGAGACCCAGAAGAAGCUCCUGGCUUUGGAUCAGUCCAGCUCUGGCCGUUGCAGUCAUUUGGGGAAUGAAUGAGUGGAUGGAAGAUAUUUCUGUCUCUACCUCUCUCUGUAACUCUUUCAAAUAAAUAAAAUCUUGAA